rnacentral:rRNA from 1 species
UACGUAGGGAGCAAGCGUUGUCCGGAAUCAUUGGGCGUAAAGCGCGCGUAGGUGGCUUCGUAAGUCCGUUGUGAAAGUCAAAGGCUCAACCUUUGAAUGCCGAUGGAUACUGCGGAGCUAGAGUACGGAAGAAGCGAGUGGAAUUCCUGGUGUAGCGGUGAAAUGCGCAGAUAUCAGGAGGAACACCGAUUGCGAAGGCAGCUCGCUGGGACGUUACUGACGCUGAGACGCGAAAGCGUGGGGAGCGAACAGG